GACGAACGCUGGCGGCGUGCUUAACACAUGCAAGUCGAACGGAAAGACCCUGCUUUUGUGGGGUGCUCGAGUGGCGAACGGGUGAGUAACACGUGAGUAACCUGCCCUUGACUUUGGGAUAACUUCAGGAAACUGGGGCUAAUACCGGAUAGGAGCUCCUGCUGCAUGGUGGGGGUUGGAAAGUUUCGGCGGUUGGGGAUGGACUCGCGGCUUAUCAGCUUGUUGGUGGGGUAGUGGCUUACCAAGGCUUUGACGGGUAGCCGGCCUGAGAGGGUGACCGGCCACAUUGGGACUGAGAUACGGCCCAGACUCCUACGGGAGGCAGCAGUGGGGAAUAUUGCACAAGGGGCUGAAGCCUGAUGCAGCAACGCCGCGUGCGGGAUGACGGCCUUCGGGUUGUAAACCGCUUUCGCCUGUGACGAAGCGUGAGUGACGGUAAUCGGUAAAGAAGCACCGGCUAACCACGUG
rnacentral:rRNA from 1 species